rnacentral:lncRNA from 1 species
UUUGGAAUGAGACAGGGACAUAUUAUUGGAGGAUGAUCUUCACAAAGAGCCAAUGUUCCUUUCAAGGAGUGGGAGGAAUAUAUGCUUUUUGGCUAGUUUACGCUCACUCACUACUUUAAUAAACGGCGUUAUAUAAUGGUGCAAUAAAUAAUGUGCUGUGCACUUAUUUAGGCGCACAUCCACUCUAGUUGCUAUUUCUCAUAGGCAUAAAUACAGAAUAAUAUUCCUCACCAAGUUAGAUUAAUAGCAACAAAUUAUUUACAUUGACUUUAAUAUGAUUUCACCCACAUCAUCAAUCACCGUUUUGCCAUGUUUUAAAAUUAUCUACUUCGAUAUCAACUUAAUGCUUAUACACUAACCAUGCUUAUAUAACUGGAUUCAUCUUGAUAUUGUAAAGAUGUUCAUGUACAUCGUAAUCUUGAUGAGAAUGGCUUGUAUACAUGUCCACAUUAGUCUCAUCAAAUGUUCUUUUCAGUGUUGCAUCACACUUCCUGUUUCCGUGGGCUUCAAUGGCUCGCGCUCCGAAAGAGAUGAACGGUAUUCUUUAUUAGUAAAAUGAAAGCUACUUAUGUUGUCUUGUUACGAAACUAGAAAGUUGGGGAAGCCAAUGUAAUUUGGACAGUGUUAUUGUGUUACUAUUUGUAUGGGUCAAAAUUUAACUACACGUGGAUUAACGCUAACAAAAAUGGUAAGAGGUCAACUAAGACGUGGUCGUACCCACAGGAUAUAAUAACAACGAAUAUUGCGGCCACUACUAAGAUCGAGCCAUCAAUAAGCUUGUGUGGCGAAGUAAAUAUCGCGGUAUAUGAGGGAGGCGAUGUGGAGGACAAUCAAGGAAUGAAUGCAUUUUGGUUGACGAUUGAUGGACAAAAGGAAUACUGAUAAUAUAUGCAGAAGUAAGAAGACAAGGAAAGGGGGCUCAACAGAAGGAGGGAAGAAAAUCAAGAACAGGUUUAGAUGGUGAAUACAAAUCUCUGUAAUCGUGAUUAUUGAAUCAAUAAAGAUAGAUCUCGUCGUUGUCGAUGUCAUUCCAUCUUUUCUGUCUUCAUCACUACAUCAUGGGAUAAUAUGUCAAGAAUGUAAG